rnacentral:snRNA from 1 species
AUACUUACCUGGCAGGGGAGAUAACCAUGAUCACGAAGGUGGUUUUCCCAGGGCAAGGCUUAUCCAUUGCACUCUGGACAUGCUGACCCCUGCGAUGUCCCCAAAUAUGGGAGACUUGACUGCAUAAUUUGUGGUAGUGAGGCACUGCAUUCGC